rnacentral:rRNA from 1 species
UUAACAAAAACAUGUCUUUUUGAAUUUAAAUAUAAAGUCUAAUCUGCCCACUGAUAAAUUAUUUAAUGGCCGCAGUAUUUUAACUGUGCAAAGGUAGCAUAAUAAUUAGUCUUUUAAUUGAAGGCUUGUAUGAAUGAUUGGACGAGAUAUAAACUGUCUCAUAAAAAUUUAUUUUAGAACUUAAUUUUUUAGUUAAAAAGCUAAAAUAUAUUUAAAAGACGAGAAGACCCCAUAGAUCUUUAUAUUUUUUUUUUAUUAUUAUUUUUUAGUUUUUUUAUAAAUUAAUAAAUAAAAAUAUUUUGUUGGGGUGACAUUGAAAUUUAAUAAACUUUCAAAAUUUAAUAACAUUAAUUUAUGAAUUUAUGAUCCUUUAUUAUUGAUUAAAAAUUUAAGUUACCUUGGGGAUAACAGCGUAAUUAUUUUGGAGAGUUCAUAUCGAUAAAAUAGAUUGCGACCUCGAUGUUGGAUUAAGAUUAAUUUUGGAUGUAGCAGUUCAAAGUAUUAAGUCUGUUCGACUUUUAAUUUCUUACAUGAUCUG